rnacentral:rRNA from 1 species
GACGAACGCUGGCGGCGUGCUUAACACAUGCCAGUCGAACGGAAAGGCCCUGCUUUUGUGGGGUGCUCGAGUGGCGAACGGGGGAGUAACACGUGAGUAACCUGCCCUUGACUUUGGGAGAACUUCUGGAAACUGGGGCUAAUACCGGAUAGGAGCUCCUGCUGCAUGGUGGGGGUUGGAAAGUUUCGGCGGUUGGGGAUGGACUCGCGGCUUAUCAGCUUGUUGGUGGGGUAGUGGCUUACCAAGGCUUUGACGGGUAGCCGGCCUGAGAGGGUGAACGGCCACAUUGGGACUGCGAUACGGCCCAGCCUGCUACGGGCGGCAGCAGUGGGGAGUAUUGCACAAUGGGGGGAAGCCUGAUGCAGCAACGCCGCGUGCGGGAUGACGGCCUUCGGGUUGUAAACCGCUUUCGCCUGUGACGAAGCGUGAGUGACGGUAAUGGGUAAAGAAGCACCGGCUAACUACGUG